rnacentral:rRNA from 1 species
UACGAAGGGUGCAAGCGUUAAUCGGAAUUACUGGGCGUAAAGGGUGCGUAGGCGGUUGUUUAAGUCUGUCGUGAAAUCCCCGGGCUCAACCUGGGAAUGGCGAUGGAUACUGGACAGCUAGAGUGUGUCAGAGGAUGGUGGAAUUCCCGGUGUAGCGGUGAAAUGCGUAGAGAUCGGGAGGAACAUCAGUGGCGAAGGCGGCGUCCUGGCUCACAACUGACGCUCAUACACGACAGCAUGGGGAGCAAACGGG